AACGCUAGCUACAGGCUUAACACAUGCAAGUCGAGGGGCAUCAGGAAGAAAGCUUGCUUUCUUUGCUGGCGACCGGCGCACGGGUGAGUAACACGUAUCCAACCUGCCCUUUACUCGGGGAUAGCCUUUCGAAAGAAAGAUUAAUACCCGAUGGCAUAAUGAUUCCGCAUGGUUUCAUUAUUAAAGGAUUCCGGUAAAGGAUGGGGAUGCGUUCCAUUAGGUUGUUGGUGAGGUAACGGCUCACCAAGCCUUCGAUGGAUAGGGGUUCUGAGAGGAAGGUCCCCCACAUUGGAACUGAGACACGGUCCAAACUCCUACGGGAGGCAGCAGUGAGGAAUAUUGGUCAAUGGGCGCUAGCCUGAACCAGCCAAGUAGCGUGAAGGAUGAAGGCUCUAUGGGUCGUAAACUUCUUUUAUAUAAGAAUAAAGUGCAGUAUGUAUACUGUUUUGUAUGUAUUAUAUGAAUAAGGAUCGGCUAACUCCGUGCCAGCAGCCGCGGUAAUACGGAGGAUCCGAGCGUUAUCCGGAUUUAUUGGGUUUAAAGGGAGCGUAGGUGGACUGGUAAGUCAGUUGUGAAAGUUUGCGGCUCAACCGUAAAAUUGCAGUUGAUACUGUCAGUCUUGAGUACAGUAGAGGUGGGCGGAAUUCGUGGUGUAGCGGCGAAAUGCUUAGAUAUCACGAAGAAUUCCGAUUGCGAAGGCAGCUCACUGGACUGCAACUGACACUGAUGCUCGAAAGUGUGGGUAUCAAACAGGAUUAGAUACCCUGGUAGUCCACACAGUAAACGAUGAAUACUCGCUGUUUGCGAUAUACAGUAAGCGGCCAAGCGAAAGCAUUAAGUAUUCCACCUGGGGAGUACGCCGGCAACGGUGAAACUCAAAGGAAUUGACGGGGGCCCGCACAAGCAGAGGAACAUGUGGUUUAAUUCGAUGAUACGCGAGGAACCUUACCCGGGCUUAAAUUGCAGUGGAAUGAUGUGGAAACAUGUCAGUGAGCAAUCACCGCUGUGAAGGUGCUGCAUGGUUGUCGUCAGCUCGUGCCGUGAGGUGUCGGCUUAAGUGCCAUAACGAGCGCAACCCUUAUCUUUAGUUACUAACAGGUUAUGCUGAGGACUCUAGAGAGACUGCCGUCGUAAGAUGUGAGGAAGGUGGGGAUGACGUCAAAUCAGCACGGCCCUUACGUCCGGGGCUACACACGUGUUACAAUGGGGGGUACAGAAGGCAGCUAGCGGGUGACCGUAUGCUAAUCCCAAAAGCCUCUCUCAGUUCGGAUCGAAGUCUGCAACCCGACUUCGUGAAGCUGGAUUCGCUAGUAAUCGCGCAUCAGCCACGGCGCGGUGAAUACGUUCCCGGGCCUUGUACACACCGCCCGUCAAGCCAUGGGAGCCGGGGGUACCUGAAGUACGUAACCGCAAGGAUCGUCCUAGGGUAAAACUGGUGACUG
rnacentral:rRNA from 1 species